rnacentral:snRNA from 1 species
GUCUCUUCGGAGACAUCUGAUAAAAUUGGAAUGAUACAGAGAAGAUUAGCAUGGCCCCUGCGCAAGGAUGACACUCACAAAUAGAUAAAUGGUCCAAAUUUUU